UGGGGAAUUUUGGACAAUGGGCGAAAGCCUGAUCCAGCAAUGCCGCGUGUGUGAAGAAGGCCUUCGGGUUGUAAAGCACUUUUGUCCGGAAAGAAAUCCUUGGCUCUAAUACAGUCGGGGGAUGACGGUACCGGAAGAAUAAGCACCGGCUAACUACGUGCCAGCAGCCGCGGUAAUACGUAGGGUGCAAGCGUUAAUCGGAAUUACUGGGCGUAAAGCGUGCGCAGGCGGUUUGCUAAGACCGAUGUGAAAUCCCCGGGCUCAACCUGGGAACUGCAUUGGUGACUGGCAGGCUAGAGUAUGGCAGAGGGGGGUAGAAUUCCACGUGUAGCAGUGAAAUGCGUAGAGAUGUGGAGGAAUACCGAUGGCGAAGGCAGCCCCUGGGCCAAUACUGACGCUCAUGCACGAAAGCGUGGGGAGCAAACAGGAUUAGAUACCCUGGUAGUCCACGCCCUAAAACGAUGUCAACUAGUUGUUGGGGAUUCAUUUCCUUAGUAACGUAGCUAACGCGUGAAGUUGACCGCCUGGGGAGUACGGUCGCAAGAUUAAAACUCAAAGGAAUUGACGGGGUCAUAGCUGUUUCCU
rnacentral:rRNA from 1 species